UCUCUUCCUUUCUUAACCCACACCCCCUAUAUAUGUCUUGUCGACUUGUUCGACUAUGACGAUAAACGCGCAUGUAAUAAGCGGGCUGGACCCGGGGGCGGUACCCGGCGGCUCCACCACAAGCGGCUCUCCUUUUAUAGGGAGCCGUUUCUGAUGGGGCCGAAAUAGUAUCGACAGACGUGUAAAAAUGUUAGCUUUCGUCCGGAUGGGUACCGAUAAAUGCCCAAUUACAGUAGUUGCUAAUGAUAACAACACUGAAGAGUUCGCUUUGGCUGCGUAAGCAGUUCGAGCAAAUUCGCUUUUAACUCCUGGCCCUUCAGACGGUCAGGCGGGCUCCGGGGGUAGCUGGCAACAGAAACCCCCAAU
rnacentral:tmRNA from 1 species